UACGGAGGGCGCAAGCGUUGCUCGGAAUCACUGGGCGUAAAGCGUACGCAGGCGGACCAUCAGGUCGGGUGUGAAAGCCCGGGGCUCAACCCCGGAACUGCAUUCGAAACCGUUGGUCUUGAGUACGGGAGAGGGAAGCGGAAUUCCUGGUGUAGAGGUGAAAUUCGUAGAUAUCAGGAGGAACACCUGUGGCGAAAGCGGCUUCCUGGCCCGAUACUGACGCUCAUGUACGAAAGCGUGGGGAGCAAACAGG
rnacentral:misc_RNA from 1 species